rnacentral:rRNA from 1 species
UACGAAGGGGGCUAGCGUUGCUCGGAAUCACUGGGCGUAAAGCGCGUGUAGGCGGAUGGGGACGUCGGUCGCUGAAAGCCCCCGGCUCAACCGGGGAACGGGCGCCGAAACGCCCCGUCUGGAGGGACGUAGGGGGACCUGGAACUUCCGGUGGAGCGGUGAAAUGCGUUGAGAUCGGGUGGAACACCAGUGGCGAAGGCGGCAUGCUGGUGCAUUCCUGACACUGAGGCGCGAGAGCGUGGGGAGCAAACGGG